GGGAGAGAGAAUUGAUAUCACAACACAAAGGCGUAAAAAUGUGAUGAAAGCUUUCUCCACAAGUGAAAAAGGGUGGUUUAUGAUUUGGGGAAGAAAGGUGAAAAUCUGGAAGAAUAUUUGCGUAGUGAGGUGCUGAGUAAGCUGGAGAAAUUUAAUUACAUAAAAAAAUAGGACUGCCAGCCCAGUAUGGACUUUAAAAUCACUAGCUAAAAGAUUAACUCAAGGUAGGGCUACCUAGCUGCUGUGCUACCCUAUUUGGAGUACUAUGUUAUUUGUGUCCGUGCGCCGCACGCGCUUCCUUUUGCGACUGGGCUUGCCUUCUACUACUAUUCUUAUUUAAGCAACUCUAUCAACUCUUGCCACACUAAAUACAUGGAUCUCUGCACUUCUAUGGAAUUAUAAGCAUAAUUGCAUGGGAAAACCCCCUCUCUUUAUUUU